ensembl:rRNA 5S_rRNA 5S ribosomal RNA
GAAAGUAGUCAUGCCACCCUGAACGUGCCUGAUCUCAUCUGAUCUCAGAAGCUAAGCAGAGUCAGGCCUGGUUAGUACUUGGAUAGGAGACCACCUAGCAAGACCAGGUGCUGUAGGCA